rnacentral:ncRNA from 1 species
AUAAAGUUUAAAUCUAGCUUAGAUAUUUAUUAAAAAUUUCUUUUACAUGUAAAUUUUUGUGAGAUAAAUAAUUUUAUUUAAAUAAUAAAGUUAAUUGUAUAUAUUCGCAGUAUUUAAUAUUAUUAAUUUAAGAAAUUAUGAAUUAGGAAUAAUUUAUAUUAUUGACAAAUUUUGUGCCAGCAGUUGCGGUUAUACAAAAAAUAUAAAUAAAUAUUAUUAGAAAAUAAUUAAAUGAUUGAUUUUUAAAUUAAUUAAAUUUAAAUUUAUUAAGUGAAAUUUUAAAUUUAAAUUAUUAUGAUAUAAAGUUUUUGUUAUUAUUAAAUUUAUUUUUUAAACUAGGAUUAGAUACCCUAUUAUUUUAAAUGUAAAUAAAUAUUCUUAAGUAGUAGUAGUUAUGUUCUUUAAAUUUAAAGAUUUUGGCGGUAUUUUAGUCUAUUCAGAGGAACCUGUUUUAUAAUUGAUAGUCCACGAUUGACUCAACUUAAUUUAAUAAAUUUGUAUAUCGUCGUUAUAUAAAAAUUUUAUAAGAGUGUAAAUUUUUAAUAAUUUAUAUAAAUAUAUAUAUCAGAUCAAGGUGCAGUAAAUAGUUAAGUAAAAUUGGGUUACAAUAAAUAUAUUUAAUGAUGGAUUAGAUUAGGAAGAUAUAAUUUAUGAAAUUGGAUUUGAAAGUAAUAUUAUUUAUUUUAAUAAUAUGAUUAAAGCUCUAAAAUAUGUACAUAUCGCCCGUCACUCUUAUAUAAAAUAAGAUAAGUCGUAACAUAGUAGAUGUACUGGAAAGUGUAUCUAGAAUGAA